rnacentral:rRNA from 1 species
GAUGAACGCUAGCGAUAGGCUUAACACAUGCAAGUCGAGGGGUAACGUGUUGGAAGCUUGCUUCCGAUGACGACGACCGGCGGAUGGGUGCGUAACGCGUAUGCAACUUGCCUCACAGUGGAGAAUAACCCGGAGAAAUCCGGACUAAUGCUCCAUACACUCUUAAGUACGCCUGUACAUGAGAGGAAAGAUUUAUCGCUGUGAGAUAGGCAUGCGUCCUAUUAGGUAGUUGGUGAGGUAACGGCUCACCAAGCCGACGAUAGGUAGGGGUGCUGAGAGGCAGAUCCCCCACAUUGGGACUGAGACACGGCCCAAACUCCUACGGGAGGCAGCAGUGAGGAAUAUUGGUCAAUGGAGGAAACUCUGAACCAGCCAAGUCGCGUGAAGGAAGAAUGUCCUAAGGAUUGUAAACUUCUUUAGCGAGCGAGUAAGGACUUCCACGUGAUGGGAGUUUGAAAGUAGCUCGAGAAUAAGUAUCGGCUAACUCCGUG